rnacentral:lncRNA from 1 species
CUGGACUAUGUCGACAGACUGUCUCUGCCAACGAUGGAUCACACUUAGGGCCACUGACCCAUAGGGGACACUCUAACCCAGACGUCAUCAAACCCACUCUCUCUAUGGCUCUGGGAGCAACAAAGGAAUGUGAAGCACCAGGGUCUAACAAAGCAUACACCUCAUAACACCCAAUGAGAAGGUUACCUGACACCACGGUGUUAGAAGUGUUUGCCUCCUGCUGUGUCAUCGUGAAAAUCCGCGCCGGAGCUGACGGACCUCCACCUCUGGGACCUGCAGAUGAAGAGGCUGACCCUCUCCCUCUGCCUCUGCCCUGUGUCAUAACUGAAACUGGUGGCUGUGGC